rnacentral:rRNA from 1 species
UGAGACAGGGUCCAANACUUCCUAYGGUANGCAGCNGUUGGGGAAUAUUGGACNAUGGNCGCAAGCCUGAUGCCWGCCAUUNCCGSGUGUGUGAAAGAAGNCCUUCGGNUUGUAAAGCACUUUUGUCCGGAAAGDAAAGUUCCCGGUUAAUANCCCGGGGAUCAUGACGGUACCGGAAGAAUAAGCACCGGCUAACUUCGUGCCAGCAGNCCGCGGUCAUMCAAGGUCAGCGUUMUCGAGAAUUACUGGGCGUAAGCGUGCGUAGGUGGUUUGUUAAGUCUGAUGUGAAAGCCCUGGGCUCAACCUGGGAAUGGCAUUGGAAACUGGCUGACUAGAGUGCGGUAGAGGGUAGUGGAAUUCCCGGUGUAGCAGUGAAAUGCGUAGAUAUCGGGAGGAACAUCUGUGGCGAAGGCGACUACCUGGACCAGCACUGACACUGAGGCACGAAAGCGUGGGGAGCAAACAGGAUUAGAUACCCUGGUAGUCCACGCCCUAAACGAUGCGAACUGGAUGUUGGGAGCAACUUGGCUCUCAGUAUCGAAGCUAACGCGUUAAGUUCGCCGCCUGGGAAGUACGGUCGCAAGACUGAAACUCAAAGGAAUUGACGGGGGCCCGCACAAGCGGUGGAGUAUGUGGUUUAAUUCGAUGCAACGUCGAAGAACCUUAUCCUGGCCAWAACAUGCCANGGGAACUUUCUAGAGAUAGAUUCGCUUCAGACGG